rnacentral:rRNA from 1 species
GACGAACGCUGGCGGCGUGCUUAACACAUGCAAGUCGAACGGAAAGGCCCUGCUUGCAGGGUACUCGAGUGGCGAACGGGUGAGUAACACGUGGGUGAUCUGCCCUGCACUUCGGGAUAAGCCUGGGAAACUGGGUCUAAUACCGGAUAGGAGCCAUUUUUAGUGUGAUGGUUGGAAAGUUUUUUCGGUGUAGGAUGAGCUCGCGGCCUAUCAGCUUGUUGGUGGGGUAAUGGCCUACCAAGGCGGCGACGGGUAGCCGGCCUGAGAGGGUGGACGGCCACAUUGGGACUGAGGGACGGCCCAGACUCCUACGGGAGGCAGCAGUGGGGAAUAUUGCACAAUGGGCGCAAGCCUGAUGCAGCGACGCCGCGUGGGGGAUGACGGCCUUCGGGUUGUAAACUCCUUUCGCUAGGGACGAAGCUUUUUGUGACGGUACCUAGAUAAGAAGCACCGGCUAACUACGUG